AUAGUGUUCUUUUUAUAUUAUGCUAUAUUUUUCUUUUAGUUUUUUUUUGCAUCUGUGUUCAUCAGUGAAGUUUUUUUAGCCUGUAUUCUUGUCUUAUACUCUUUUUUUAAGAUGGAACUUCACUCUUGUCGCCCAGGCUGGAGUGCAGUGGUGCGAUCUAGGCUCAUUGCAACCUCCAUCUCUCAGGUUCAGACGAUUCUCCUGUCUUUGUUUUUAUUGUUAUCCAGUUUUGCUAUGCUGUACCUGGGUUUUUAUUAUUUCUAAUUUACCCUGCUUGUGAUAUGUUUGAGUUCUUGACUCUGAAUAGUGUGUCCGUCAGUUCUUUUUAAAAUUUAGGAUAGUUUGACUUAGGAUUUCUCAACUUUAUGAUAGGUUUAUUGGGAUAUGAAAUGCAUUUCAGCUAAUAUUUUCAACUUAUGUGAUGGAUUUAUCAGGAUAUAACCCCAUUGUAAGUUGAGAAGAGUUUCCUUUGUAGUGAUUAAAUUGCAUGCCAGAACAUGGGUAUUCUCUGCAUUUUUAAUGCAGAAUUUAGUUGAUACUAAUUUUACUUUAUGCCACUAUAAAUAGGCAUACCCAGUAAGAGCCUAUCUGCCAUAGAAGUUUGCUUUAGUAUACUGUGUAAGUAUAUAUUAUCUAAUCUUUUCCAAAUUUGGUGAUUUAAAUAUAUUCUUUAUUUUUUAUGAUAAAAGUGUAGGCAGGAGAAUGGCAUGAACCCAGGAGGCAGAGCUUGCAGUGAGCCAAGAUCACACCACUGCACUCCAGCCUAGGCGACAGAGCGAGACUCCAUCUCAAAAAACAAAAAAAAAGAGGUGGGGAGCUAGAGAGAGCUCACUCUAAGACUUUUGGGAAGAUUAGCUGAGAUGAAGCCUUUAGCUUUCUAUUGUACAAACUAGACAGGAAGUUAACCCCUAAGCUUUGUUUUAAGUUUAAAAGAAAAACUAGGAUAUGCUGAAAUUACUUGAUUUGGCCCAUUUUAAAUAGCAAUACACAGGUUUUUUUUUUGUAGGGGCAGUUGGCAGGUGUAGGGAAAUUUUCACUUACACAAGGGCACUACAUAAAGAUGAGAGGUGGUGUCCUUGCUGACCUCAUCUUGCCACUCCCCAGGCCACCUCCAGAUAGUUGUUUUCUGUUACUAAAAAGCAGAACAUUCGACUGCUUGACAUGGAAAGUUAUCUUCUCUUACGCCAUUGGUGACAAGCGACCCUCUUUGGGCAAUAUCUGUUACUUUCCCUCCCUCUAAUAGUCAUGUAAACAUUGAUGUUUAGUAUUCAGUCUACUGCAGUUUAUUGUGCAAGCAAUUAUAAGUUAUUAACUUGGCAUAAUUUGUUGAAUACCUAAGUAUAUAAUAUUGAAACUAAGGACUUGGCACCAAAAUGUUUAUGUACUUUGACUAAUUUAACAGGAAAGUUGUUUACUUAGGAUUGCUGGAAAGUUUUCUGCCAUCAAUUUCAUAGACAGAAAAAAUUUCUCUCCUUGGGAGCAUAUGGAAGGCUGAUAAAUUCAGAUAUAUACUUGGCAUCAAUGUGAUAAUACUGAGAAAGUUAUUCCUUUGCAUCAUGAACACUUUUAAGAUAGUAGUACAUACAGUUUCCUUCCUCUGCUGUCUAAGUAAGUCUGUGA
rnacentral:lncRNA from 1 species